AAUCACUACCUUAAAGUUAUUUUUCUUUUUAAGUUUUGAGUGUCCAAAUUAAACAUAGUAAAUAAAGUGUGUGUAAAUCUCAGUCAUGGGAACAGCUGAAGUGUAUGAAGUCUUAGGUUAGAGAUAUAGCACUUUUGACACGAAACAGAAGCCCGGGACCAGAGUACAGGAUAGCACAAGUUAUGCCUUUAUGGAGUGUCUUUCCAGACCAAGAGAGAUGCCAAGGCUAGCCCAGGGAACAAACAGCCUUGGGGAAAAAGAGAGUUCUGGACCUCAAAAUGUGAAACCAGGAGGAGAUUUCCAGAAUCCCCCUAGGGGGUUAAGAAAGGAAGGCAAUAAUUGCAAGUGGCCCCAGGUGGCCCCCAGUGACACUUGCACAAGACCGCAGGAGUAGUCCUGCAGGCAGACACCUCAUUCACACAAACCCCGCUGGCUCCAGGUUGUGCUUCCUUCACAACUUCCUCCUCCAGGCUGCCCAACCCCACCCCACCCCAACCAAGCAUCUAUGGCUUCUGGCCCAGCGGGCAUCUGAAUACUUCGCUUUCCUAUCUUUUCAUUAAAACCCAUCCUUCUCCGAACUGUUGGUCCUCCUGCAUGGCUUGCAAAUCUAUUCUGUGUCACUGAAUUUAGGUGACACACGGGACUUUAAUGCAACUUGCCCUCUGGAGCUGGAUUCCAAGACAGAGGUGAGCUGGAGGCGGGACUGUCAUGGCACCUUGCUUCCUCAGGGCCGCCACUACCUCACCCCUGUCUUACAGGCCACUGCUUCCACGGCUUCUCUUUGUUUCUGCUUUUUGUUUGUUGGGUUUUUUUUUCUUUUUAACUGUGUAGCCGUCACAGAGUGGUGCCUGAACGUCGCCGGAACCAUUCUCCAGGCACUCAGAGAAGAGCACUGCGGCUGUCACAGCUGAAUGAGCCUCACGUUAGAGCACUGGGAUGAGAUAUUAGUAAGUUGUGUUCUGUGGAGAAAACCGGUUCUCUGCUUUGGGAAACACUGACCUCAGGUUCCAGACAAUGUUCUUAGCACCCGCUAUGUCUUAGAAGUGUUAUGAGGGUGUGGUGGACUCGGAGACUACACGGUCCAACUUAGAAUGUAUUGUUUCACCAUUGUAGGGCAACCUUGAGGGUUGAGUUCAGAUUCUGUGUGUACAAAGUAAGUUAUUUUGCUUUUUUAAAGGGUUAAUUUCAUUUUUAUAUGCUUCAGUGUUUUGCUUGCAUGUAUGUCUGGGUACCAUGUGUAUGUCUGGUGCCUACAGAGACAAGAAAGAGCGUUGGAUCCUCUGGAAGUUACAGAAGGUUAUACUCUACCAUGAGGAGAGUUUACAAUUCUGGGAACUGAACCCGGGUCCUCUGGAAGAUGAGCCAUCUCCCCAGUCUGUAGUUUUCUAAAUAAAGCUAGUGUGUAGGGUAAAUCAAGCCAAGUUGAGAAAAGUGGUCAGGUUUGUGAAAAAGACAUUUCUUGGCAAGAAAACAAAGUGACUCGGCACCCAUUAAUGGCCCAGAGCUUGUCAGAGUCCUUUAACAUUCUAUCCUAAAAUAAAGAAGUCGUGUGAAGUGUUAUGGCCCAAAGCAGCACGUCACUGGAAACUGAGGAGGAGGUUAGCUUGUUAAGAGGAUGUGCCAGGCAACAGGUAACUCUCAACCUCUCUCUCGGUGCUGUAUCUCUACCAUUCCAAGUCCUUUACCUCCUGGAAAACGAAAUUCACAGGAAGCUCUUACAGGGGUGAUUAGCUUAUGGCUUCUCCAGUCAGAAUGUCUCCCACAAAGUUCUCACUUGAGGACUGCACAAUCAAAUUAACAACAACGGCAAAAAGCAAGGAAGGUUUCAGUGUUUUAAGUUUACAGAUCUGGGUUGGGAUUUAUCUCUUAGGCUGCACUUGGCUCAUGGGAUGCAGACUGGACUGCUCUGAUUAUCUCGUGGACUAGCACAUCAAAAAGGUCCCUAUCACCAAGGCAAAACCAAGUUUUUCACCUGAUCUUCCCUGGGGGUAAGGUGGAGUAGAGAAGGGGGAAGAGAGGGGAUGGGGAAGAGGAGAGAAAAGAAAAUUGAUUAUAGCCACAUGCUCAAAUAAGCAGGCCUUAGCUACUAAGACGUCUUCUCUGACUUAACCCUUAGAAAACAGCGGCCUGAUGUGAACUAGCUUCCCACACCACCCUGUUUCCUAACAGUCUGUGAUCGCGCAGUGGAAACUUUCUGUUUGGUGGAAUGAAGGCAGCUCUGAUUCAUGAAUCUUAAGUAACAGCCAGUUAGAUCUUUAACUGAGUAUGUUACAAUGCAGCCUUUUGCCACAUAGAUAAAUAAUAGCAAUUAUGUAGCAUGUUAUAUACAUAUAAAUAUGAGGUGUGUGUGCAAUAUACAGUAUGAUUAAUACCUGUAGAGAUACAGAUCUGAGAGAGUGAGAGAGAGAGCGAGAGAGCGAGAAAGAUCAAGAGUUCUGUUACUCUUAUAUAUAAUAGUGUGUAUCAUUGACAAUGAAGUGGUUAGUUGGGUCAUACAAGACUAAGCCUGGACAGUGUAGAACCCUCAACCCCAGUCUCAUUUACCAAUCAUAUGUGGAGUUAUGUGCUGCUCAUCAAUGGGACAUGUUUGGAGACGUUGCCAUUAGGCGGUUCCAUUUUUAUGCAAACAUCAUUGAAUGAACAUCCGUAGGUGACACAUUCCCACGGGUCUGUGUAGUCUGGCACUGAAACCUUGUUGCUCAUGAUAUGGCUUCACUUUAUUCUUUGUAUAAUAAGGUAUACAUGAAGUAGAUUUUUAAUAAGAUAGAUUGCAUAUGUAUGUAUAGUAGAUUAGGAGCUAUAAAUUCAUAUAUACAAUAAGUUAUGUGUGUGAUAUAGAGUACAAUUAAAAUGUAAUGGUUGUACAGUUAUUUAUAUAUUCUUAUCUAUAUUCUGUGGCAUACAUGUAUACACAGUGUACACAUUACUUAAACUCAACAAACAAGUCCUUCCCAGUGACUUAUACUUCUUGCUGUUGGACCCUUCCCAAUUCUGCAUUUUUUUUUUACCAAGCUGGGAUUUAUGAUAAUAGAAAUGGAAAUAGCAAGGAAGGCAACUCCUCCUGAAACCUUAAAGCUGGAUGGGCCAAGCUCUGCCUUUUUGUUGGCUAACGUGAAGCCACCAUUUUCUUGUACUAACAGUCCGUAAUGGAGCUUAGCUAGACAUUGUUUUCUGAUCUGUUGAUGACUUCGAAGAAGAUGCAUUGCCAGAAAUUAGCUGGUAAGAUAAACACCCACAACCAUACCUGCCUCUCUUUAGAAACAUAAAUGUUCUGCUUUAGUGGAAAAUGACUGCAGGGCACGAGUAUAAAGUAUAAAACAAUUAAAAUAAUAAAUCCAAAUAGUAGCAACUCCCAGUGAGUCUUACAACAUCGAACUCGAUGGCUGCCAACCUGUGGAGUCUGCCCUAGGCCCUGGAGAGGCUGGGGUAAGGGGCAGGCACACGCAGACACUCAGGUGGUCUCCGCUAGGAAGCCAAGCUUGGCUGCAAUCCAGGUAGAACAGAGCCAGCGGGACUCAGGAGGCUUAGGACAGAGGCUGCCCAUAGAUGGUGAAUUUGCCUGUUUCUUCUCAUACAGGAGUCGUUCAGUCAAGAAUUUACAGAGAAGAAUUUAUAUCGUGUGACGCACACUUGCUCUUGGUCCUUUGGUUUCUGUCCUCAUGAGGUAUUCAUGUUAGCAUGGAAAAGACAGCUACUACAAGACAUGCUGGACUGUCAAGGAGUGGAAGUGCCCUGGAUGGCCACACUAGGGUCAAAAGGAGGAGCAAGCCACUGGUCAUGACGCUCAACGGCGGCGUUUGCUGAAUCCCUCCUAGUGAGCUCAUAUAACUUCCCUGGAAACUCUGACAUGGUCCCAUCUUUACUCACAGGUUAGAGGGACUCUCUAGACUUUAAGAAGACAGACACUGUCCCCCAACUCCUACAGCUAGUCUAGGGGCAGGGACCCCCACAAAAUAAAGUACAAUUCUCACCCUCCAUGUGUGACUGGGUUGGGUAGUAAAUCUCUGCCUUCCCCCAAGGUCCACAAUGCCAGGUUCUAGGAGAUACUGACUGCUCAGCCGCUCCCCUGGUCAUCUUGAAAUUCUUAGCUCAGAAGUGGUCAGGUCUCCGGCUCUGAAUUUGUUACAUUUAUUUAUUUCGUGCAGGCACAUGUGUUUGUACAUGUCCUACGCAUGCACAGCAAGGUCAGAAGUCAACAUACAUGAGUUGGUUUUCUCCUUCUGCUGUACGGAGCUGAGGUGUCAGAUUCAGGUCAUUGGGCUUGGUGGGCUUUGACUGUGUUUCUAGUGGUCAGUCAGGACCUUGGGAUGCCUAGAAAACUGGUAAAAAUGAAGGUGCCCCCAGGAUGCCAAUGACGGGUCAGAAGCACAGAGCUCUCCAACACAUCACGGAGCUGAGCCUGGAGAUUGCUUAGAUUCUGCCAUGGAUGACAUGUGACAAUAGUUAAUCUCACAGAACCUUGUGUUCCUGAUCUUUAAAAUGGGGAUAACAAAAUUCAUUUCACAAGCUUCCUGUGAUCCUCAUAGGAGAGACAAUGGGAAGGUUGGGGAUCAUUCCUGGCACAGAGUGGUGCUUGGCAGAUUCUAAUUCUCUUUUGUAAGAUGUUUCUAAAAUAAUGUUCAAAGAGUCCACUUUCCUACUUGCCCUAACACAUGAAAACAUUUGUGUGUGUGUGUGUGUGUGUGUGUGUGCGUGCGUGCGUGCUACGUGGAUGGAUUUAAACAUCUGCCCACUUGUUAGACCAACUACAUCACAAGGGAAAGAACUGCAAAACCAAAAGACGAAGCCCUGGGAAGGAACUUGAAGGAGCCUCCAGCUGAGGAGACUGGAGGAUGGCGCCUUCCCUACUGAUGUGGUUUAGUCUUCAUUUGCACGGCUCAGGGUUUACCUGUGUGGGAGGGGUGGGAGCACGAGGCCCGCUGACGCCUGACCCCUUUGAUACUCUGUGGUUUCUGAGUCAGCAGCAUGAAGGUAAGAGGACGGUGCUCCCUGUGUCCCUAGCUAAUGCACAUGGUUGUGUUUUCUCUCCUUACUUGUUUCCACUGACUUUCCGGCUUUCCUGACGUAUCACUGAGCUGCCUCAUAGUUUCCCAGAAAACCACUUUUCUGUGCAAGUGACCUGUAAUUACUGCUUACUAUGAAGAACCCGACCAAAUGCCUCCCCUCAGGCCAACCUAAAAAUCUCAAUUUCCACGCUAGCACACUGCCCAUGGUGGCGGCGUCUCACUACCAAAGUCUAUAAUGUAGGGAUGACCGAAAGAACCAGUGUCAUGGAGUUGAGACUGGAGAGGCCCUGCUUACCCUCAUUCCCACAGCACGGGCGACCAUUUGUCCCCUGAGCGUAACACAGUCGAGACCAACAUGAUCAACACUGACAAGGCACUCAGCCUUCGUAUUGAGAGGAGGCAGGGAGCAAUGUUAGUUAUUCGACAUAUAAACACCUAGAACAAAGGUCUUCAGCCUGUGAGUUGUGACCCCUUUGAGGUGGGUUGUGUUGGGGAGGGGACCAACAACCUUCUCACGGGGUCCUCUAAGACUGUCAGAAGUAUCAGAUACCUACCUUACGGUUCAUAAUAGCAGCAAAGUUACAGUUAUGGAGUGGCAAUGAAGUAUUAGGGUUGAGAGGUCACCACACACGAGGAACUGUACUAAUGGGUCACAUUAGGAAGGUUGAGAACCACUGUCCUCGAAGCUGAUGCUCAAACCUAGGACUAGUGCACGAUGACGCUCUCUAAGGUUUGUUUAAAAAAGAGGAUCUAAACAGCUGUUUUGACUCCAACGUCGAAAUAAAAGGAAGUGUUGAGUUGAAUCAUCACACAGUGGGCUGCCUUAAAGAAGAUUCUGAGAAUCCAGGACUUCGGUUAUGCGUGGACCAAAUAUCAGCGAUGAAUUGCUCAAGGGCAAGGUUCAAUGACCCUGAGCUGCAUAAACCUGAAAGCUAAAUAAAGAAAGGAAGCUGAAGCAGCAGAAGACCUACAAAGGUUGCGGGCUUUCUGACCCUUGAGCUCUCCUCUCUUCCUAUUGGUUCCUCAACUCUGAGGCUAAAGGUCUAGGAACUUAAAAUAGCUUGGACUCGGACUCGACAUUUUAAGCUCAGCAACACCCAUGCUUCAGGAGAUGCCGUCAGGAACAAGAGCUUCCUCGCUGGUGUAGGCCUUCUUUGACCACCCUGGCCUGUACUCUGUGGUGCCCCUUCCUUGCCUCCUGUCUCUGGUCUUCCAACACUCGCUCGUUCUCCCAGGCCUCUUCAGCUUCCCUCAGGGAUGCUCCUGGGAAGAGGGGAGCUAACUCCAUUUCGUCAAAUACUUUCAUCGGGCACUUCUGUGCUAUUCCUUUGGAGGCAGGGCACAAGAAGUCAAGAGAGCUAGAGAGAACCACCUUCAGGAGAAGACUUUAAGUCUUGGAAUUAAAUGAGAAAUAUGGGCUUGAAUUUCAAGUGUCAAAGAUGCAAAUGUUAGCAUUCACUCUGAGCUUUCCCCUCUUCCUCAGCCAUUGAAUCUCAUCCCUCCCUUCAGGAAGCGUGUGUGGGCUUCCUCCAGUGAGGUUAACGGCUCUCUGAUGGAUCUAAGUCACCUGGACCCACCGAGCCAGGGAGCUGAGCAUAGGCAAACAUGAAGGUCCUUUCUGGGCACUGAGGUGCUCAGAGAAGGGAUAAGGGAACACCACAGUGCUCACCACUCUGAACACAGAGCUCUCCUCCACAGCACAGGAAAGUCUCUAAUACUGUAAAAGUUUGGUUUUUGUUUGUGUUUAUUGGCAGCAAUGAAUUGAGUGUCUUUGAGAGAAAAUGAGCAGGGACCCAGAAGAGACCCAGAAAGCUCUUCUUGGUGGAACUGGGUCCACUUCUAGGAAGACAGACAUUGCUGGAAUUCUUACUAAAGAAAGACCCGUUGAGCAGCUUUCUUCUGGAAACUUAGCAUUGCCUGUGCUCGAACUUUGAUACCAGGCUGACCUAGCAACACGCCUUGAGACCCAUACGAUGCUGGAGAAAUAGUAAAUACCUGGCAGUGCAGGGCCGUACGGAGGAACUUGUCUUAAGUAAUCUCCAAUCAUUUAAAGCCAGCUCUCCGCUUACACACAAUACACACAACUGGAUUUCAACCCACUCAUUCCGUGUUGGCAACAAACGCUUGUGGGUUGGACUUGAUGUUCAUGCUUGUUUGAUUCAAAAGUGAGCUGUGAGUGACUCAUGCCACAGGUAUAACAUUUGCUCUCCCGGGGAGGGGGUGGAGGAAGGUCUUCACUCAUGUGAGGAUCUCUAACACUGCAAGAGUUUGGCUUUGUUUGUUUGUGUUUAUUGGUGGCAAUGGAUUUGGGGAAAAUAAAUUAUUCAAAGACACAGAAAAUAGCCCUUAAAUCAGUAGCAUUCAUCUUGAUGAAGUGACUAAUUUAUUUUUCUCCUUGUGUCGUAGAUCUUCCAGGGCGGGCCUCUCCCACCUCCUACUCACAGUCUGCGUGUCGCAGCCAAACUCUGGUUCCACAGGAACAUCUCAGACGUUUCCUCUCUCUCUCAGAUAACCUCUUCAACUCAAGCUUUCAAUUUAAAUCUAGUCAUUAUUACCCAGAAUGUCUAUAGCCACUAAUAUUAGCUUCUUUGAGAGAACCUCCUAGAGAACGGUAUGUCAGGAAUCAAACUUAGUCCUCUUUGUUAAUCACAUAUCGGAGGCGACGCCCUUGUUCAGUUGUGGAUUGCUGGGUUCUACAGAGUGAGUGAGCUGUUGCACGGGUCCUCGGAUCACUUUCCUAACAUUCUCCCUAAAGAACUUUUUAUGAAUAUUUUGAUAAAUGCAAUCGCAAAUCAGUAAAAUUCCCAUGUUCUCAGUUAAAAAUUAUUUUAUUAUGUAUAUCCGGAUACUUUGCCUGCAUGUCUGUGUACACCACUCGCUUGCCUACCUAGUACCCAUGAGGUCAGAAGAGGGCAGUGGAGCUUCUGAGACUAGAGCUACAGUGGUCUGUGAGCCACCGCGUGGGUGCUGGGAAUCAAACCCGUGUCCUCUGGAAGAGUAGCCAGGGCUCUGGACAUUAAGCCAUCACCAUCACUCAGAUUCCUAUUAUUAUAAAUUCUAGAUGCAGACACAAAACUGCCCAUGGAGAGAAGACUGACCUGAGGGGUUGCUGCAAGGAGCAAGUCUUAGGCAGCGAGAGGCUGAAGACAUGUGUGGUAACAAGACAGCUAUCCAAGAGUCUCUGUGAGUGCCACGGCAAACUGCUUCUCCAGAUAUGAAUACACUAAUGGUCAUCUGAUACUUGGUAGCCACCGUCCAUCAUCACCAUCUGCACCACACUGUGCACUGACCGUGCAAGCCAGAGUGCAACCUCCAGAGGCCCAGAAACACAGCCCCAGACGCUAAAGCAGUGGUUCUCAAGGUGUGGGGCACGGUACCCUCAAAGGUUCGCAUAUCAGAUAUCCUGCAUAUCGGUUUUAUAUUAUGAUUCGCGACAGUAGCAGGACUACAGUUACGAAGUAGAAAGGAGAUAAUUUAAUGGCUAGGGGUCAGCACAACAUGAGGAAGUGUGUUAAAAUGUCGCAGCAUUAGGAAGGUUCUGUCCAAUGGCGAUCUAUGGGUGACAUGUUGGAAAAAAGAACCCAACUCAAAAGGCCAUGGAUUUAUGAGGUCAUUGUCAACAUAGAUAGAAGUCUCUAAUUAGAGAGUAAGGGAAAAGUUAUAUUGAACUGAUCAAGUAAGAUUUCCCGGGGGUGGGGAGGUGUGUGGGGGGGAUCUCAGUGUUUAUCUGGGUAUCAACAGACUGCACUGCACUCUUGUUUAGAAGGAGACCUCGAGGGUCUGGAGAGGUGGCUCAAUGAUUGAGAGAGAGCACUUGUUGCUUGCUCUUGGUUCCCAGCGCCCACAUGAGUUUGACCAGCACCUGCAACUCCAGUGCAGGGGAUCGGAUGGCAUCUUCUGGGUACUGUGCACACACGGUGAACAUACAUGCGUGUUGGCAAAAAAAAAAAAAAAAAAAAAAAAAAAAAA
rnacentral:sRNA from 1 species